CAUAACACUCCUCAUCUUUCUCUUACCUCUUUCUCUUUCUCAUUUCUUCUACCCCAAUCUUGAAGACAAACAAACAUGAGAAACAACCACCAUCAGCAACCAUCUUCUCCAGGAGAAACAAACAACCAGCACCAGCAACCACCUCCUCCGGCGAAACUAACCGGGCUUCUUCUCCGACCCUCUCUCUCCUCAAUAAACAACAACCACCAGCAACCACCUUCUCCAGCGAAACUCACCGGACUUCUUCUCCGGUGCUCUCUCUCCUCUCGGUCUAAUUGCUCUUGAAACAGACCAAUAAAGAUAUUCAAUCGACAAGCUGGAUGGAUGUAGGCGACGUUAAUGCGGGGACAUGUG